AUGCCCCUCCCCAUUCAGAUCGCGGCCUCGAGAUACGGCGGCCCAGUGCUACACUUCGAGCUGAGACGGCAGCGGUGGCGGCAGGACGGCAUGCCGGAUCAAGUCCCCGUGGUCAUCAGCGGCGGGCACGGAUCCAGCUCCAUCCAGCUGCGGGUAUGGAUCCAGGUCCAUCCGGCGGCGGGCACAGAUCCAGAUCCAUCCGGCUGA
rnacentral:rRNA from 1 species